UAGCAGCAUACCCUGCACUCCUGCGGAGAAAAAGAAUUUAAACCAAGAUGACGGAGACAGAUACCAGCACCAGACAACACCUAAGAGCCAGCAGAGUGUUUCCUAUCAAAAUGAGCGGCAAACCCCAGGAAGUUCUCAGCGCAAAAGAGAAUUCUUUUCAAAACAAUUGUUUUCAAAGAAGAAUCAAAGAGAUACACGGGUACCCAGAUCAAUAUUUUCAGAAGGAAAAGAAAAGAACGAGGAAGGCAAUCUGAAUCAUUCAUUUAUGGAAGGGAUUGAAGAGAUUGAUGACUCGGUUUUUAAAAAUUAGAGAAAAGGUAAACUUUCAUUGCUGCAAAUGAAAAAGCAGAGAAACCAAUGUCACUAACUCAGCAUUCAAACCAGCUCCAAAGGAGAACUUUUUCAAAGCAUUGUGCAGUACCUUUGGGAGAGGAGCUAUUUACAACAUGACUUUGACACAAAAAGAGCUAUAAAUAGGGGGAGGGAGAAGAGGUGGUGGCUUCAUUUCCCCCUCCCAUCCAUUUAUGGUAUGUAAAAGGUAUCUUUCAGAGAAUCUGUUUGACAUGAGCUUGGAGACGGAAAACAUGCAGGUGAACAAAACCAGGCCACAUGCCUUUCCUUCUCGCCAUCCUCCCCAAGGAAUAGCUGUGGCUAGAGCUGAGUGAAUUAUGGAUUUCUCGGUUUGCUGGAAAUUCCAAAACAUUGAAAAAAACAAUUAUUUGGGUUGAACUGAAAACAUUUUUUUUUUUCAAAUUUUUCAGCAAAUCUAAGUUAUGUUUCAUUUUUGGUUCUAACGAAAUGUUUUGGCUGAACACUUCAACAUUUAAUUCUUUAAAUCACGUUUAAAGUAAAUUUUAAAGAAAAAAUUUUUUCAAUUGGAGACAUCAGAAUGUUUCAGUUUUUGGAAACCAUGUUUUUACUAUUUUUUCCCAAUGAAAACAAUUGACUCAAAUUCACCAAAAGUUUUGGUGUCGCUGAAUCUUCAUUUUUUGCCAUUUUCAGUUGAAAAGUUUCACCCAUCUCCAGCUGAGACACCUGUUUCAUGGAAAUUUACAUUUAAAAGUAAUUAUCUCCCCUUUUACACUCUAAUCUUUAGCUUACUUGGUUCCUGCUAUCUCAGGCAGAUGGAAAAAUUUAAUGGGGUUUCGUUGUUGCUAUACUGACCUAAUUCUUUUUUUAAAUAAUAAAUUCCUGUCUCUUAAAGAGUUCAGACACAACUAGAACACCUCUCCCAGCCUGUCCUCCCUCUUUCCCAAGGUAGAGCAGCUGUGGCCAGAUUAAGAGAAAAGAAAAAGAGGUAGCCACUGUUAGAUGAAUGGAGAGGCAUGCAGAGAAGAAUUCAUUUGGAGCAAAUAAUGGGAGUUCUAAAAUCAAAGAGGGCAAUUUUGACCUGGAAAUCUAGGCAGAUUAGACUAACAUUGGUUAGAAAAGCAGAGAUGCCAUUUUCGUAUUUAGCUUCCUCUCUUUAGAGCCCUCUUGGUCAGAUGAAUGCCUGGUGUUGGGAGAGUUUUGCCUAACAAUAGUGAAAUGCAAACAGUGCUGGGUUUGGAUGUGUGAAACUGGUGUCUAGCUGUACUUGUAACAUAGACUGACACAUGAAUCACAUUACGUGCAACUUGCCAUGUUUUAUACCCAAAAAAAAAAAAAAGCCCUCGAAAUAACUUUUUAAAUAUUUUUUUAUGUUUGAAUAAAUGAGCCAAUAAGCGUAGUUGUAUAUAGAAUGCAGUAGGUAUUUAUCUGAGACUGUUAAAUUCUACUUGUGUGGAUUUGCACAAUAAAACACAAGUUUUGUAUUUUCU